UCUGAGCCAUCUCUCCAGCCCUUU
rnacentral:piRNA from 1 species